UACGUAGGGGGCUAGCGUUAUCCGGAAUUACUGGGCGUAAAGGGUGCGUAGGUGGUUUCUUAAGUCAGAGGUGAAAGGCUACGGCUCAACCGUAGUAAGCCUUUGAAACUGGGGAACUUGAGUGCAGGAGAGGAGAGUGGAAUUCCUAGUGUAGCGGUGAAAUGCGUAGAUAUUAGGAGGAACACCAGUUGCGAAGGCGGCUCUCUGGACUGUAACUGACACUGAGGCACGAAAGCGUGGGUAUCGAACAGG
rnacentral:rRNA from 1 species